rnacentral:rRNA from 1 species
UACGUAGGGUGCGAGCGUUGUCCGGAAUUAUUGGGCGUAAAGAGCUCGUAGGCGGUCUGUCGCGUCGGUCGUGAAAACUUGGGGCUUAACCCUGAGCUUGCGGUCGAUACGGGCAUGGACUGGAGUUCGGGCAGGGGAGACUGGAAUUCCUGGUGUAGGCGGUGAAAUGCGCAGAUAUCAGGAGGAACACCGGUGGCGAAGGCGGGUCACUGGACCGGUACUGACGCUGAUGCGCGAAAGCGUGGGGAGCAAACGGG